AUUGAACGCUGGCGGCAGGCCUAACACAUGCAAGUCGAACGGCAGCACAGAAGAGCUUGCUCUUUGGGUGGCGAGUGGCGGACGGGUGAGUAAUGUCUGGGAAACUGCCCGAUGGAGGGGGAUAACUACUGGAAGCGGUAGCUAAUACCGCAUAACGUCGCAAGACCAAAGAGGGGGACCUUCGGGCCUCACACCAUCGGAUGUGCCCAGAUGGGAUUAGCUAGUAGGUGGGGUAAUGGCUCACCUAGGCGACGAUCCCUAGCUGGUCUGAGAGGAUGACCAGCCACACUGGAACUGAGACACGGUCCAGACUCCUACGGGAGGCAGCAGUGGGGAAUAUUGCACAAUGGGCGCAAGCCUGAUGCAGCCAUGCCGCGUGUAUGAAGAAGGCCUUCGGGUUGUAAAGUACUUUCAGCGGGGAGGAAGGCGGUGAGGUUAAUAACCUCGCCGAUUGACGUUACCCGCAGAAGAAGCACCGGCUAACUCCGUGCCAGCCGCCGCAGUAA
rnacentral:rRNA from 1 species